UACCAGCACCCCGAGUGAUCGGGACGAUUAUUGGGCCUAAAGCAUCCGUAGCCGGUCCUGCAAGUCUUCCGUUAAAUCCAGCUGCUCAACAGAUGGGCUGCGGGGGAUACUACAGGGCUAGGAGGCGGGAGAGGCAAGCGGUACUUUAUGGGUAGGGGUAAAAUCCGUUGAUCCAUAGAAGACCACCAGUGGCGAAGGCGGCUUGCCAGAACGCGCUCGACGGUGAGGGAUGAAAGCUGGGGGAGCAAACCGG
rnacentral:rRNA from 1 species